rnacentral:rRNA from 1 species
AGGAUGAACGCUAGCGGCAGGCUUAAUACAUGCAAGUCGAGGGGCAGCAGGUCUGUAGCAAUACAGAUGCUGGCGACCGGCAAACGGGUGCGGAACACGUACAGAACCUUCCUUCGAGCGGGGAAUAGCCCAGAGAAAUUUGGAUUAAUACCCCAUAGUAUAUUGAAUAGGCAUCUAUUUAAUAUUAAAGAUUUAUCACUUGAAGAUGGCUGUGCGGCUGAUUAGGUAGUUGGCGGGUAACGGCCACCGAAGCCUUCGAUCAGUAACUGGUGUGAGAGCACGACCAGUCACACGGGCACGUGAGAACCGACCGGGCCCGACUCCGUAACGGGGAGGCAGCAAGGUAAGGAAUAGUUGGUACAAGUCGGACGCAAGUCUCGAACCAGCCAGUCGACGCGUGGAGUAUAGGAAGUCCUCGUGGUAA